GACGAACGCUGGCGGUGUGCUUCACACAUGCAAGUCGAACGAGGUAGCAAUACCUAGUGGCGGACGGGUGAGUAACGCGUGGGAAUCUGCCUUUAGAUGGGGGAUAACGGGUCGAAAGACUCGCUAAUACCGCAUAUGACGAAAGUUGAAAGGAGUAAUCCGUCUAAAGAUGAGCCCGCGUCCGAUUAGCUAGUUGGUAGAGUAAAAGCCUACCAAGGCGACGAUCGGUAGCUGGUCUGAGAGGAUGAUCAGCCACAAUGGGACUGAGACACGGCCCAUACUCCUACGGGAGGCAGCAGUGGGGAAUUUUACGCAAUGGGCGAAAGCCUGACGUAGCGACACCGCGUGAGCGAAGAAGCCCCUUGGGGUGUAAAGCUCUGUCAGCUGGAACGAAAAAAUGACGGUACCAGCAGAGGAAGCAUCGGCUAACUAACGUG
rnacentral:rRNA from 1 species